GGGGAAAACAAAAGAGGGGGAAACAUGAAGGUAAGUAGGUCUUUGCACUAGACCUGCAACUUUCAUGUAAAUUUGAAAAUAUCUCUAAGUAAAUUAUUUUUUAAAAUUGCAAAAACUAGUCUUGGGACAAAGGAUUCCUUGUGAUGUUUGAGCAAAAAUAACUCUCUCACAGGGCUAUUUCAGAGAAUUCUUACACUGAAUGGGAAGUUUGAUUGUAUAAUCUAUCAUUUCAAACUCAGAGCAUAUGACUUAUGAAUCAUAGGCUGGUGAUAGUGCAGUGAAGUGAAAUAUGAGUCACAUUCGUAGAAAUUUAAAGGAAUAUUAAGAUGUUAAAGAGAUGUAACAAGAGUAUCCAUUGUUUUGUGAAGGAUUUUUUUUCCAUCCAUCCAUCCAUCAUUUAGUUAUGGAAAGCACAUUCAGGGAACUGUUUUAGACACUGGGUAUUCAUAUUUAAAUAAGAUAUACUUACUCUGUCUUCAGCUUUCUAGAGUGGAGUCACAUUAAACGUGUUGGUUUAUUAAGUAAAAAUUGAAAGAUACCACUAGUUUUUUCUGGUAUAAUUUGGAAAGUCUUUUGCUAGACAUGCUUUACUUUUUGUCCCUCAUGAUGACUUUGUUUGAAGUGAUUAGUCUGAAUUAGUCUGGUUCGUGUAGACAGAACUUCUCUCUAUAGCCUACCAUGUGUGCAAAUCUCUAUCCUGUAUGUAACUUUAAUUCCAUCCUUAAUUAACUUCAGGACCUCUUCUGUGAAAUGAAUUAAAAGGAGCUGUCUCACAAGUACCUUUAAUGAGAAUAGAGCCUUUAACAUUAUAAAAGUUUUUUUAAUCUUAAUAUUUCAAAUAAUUUGGAACAAAAGCAUCCACAAAAAGGAGACAGACAUUUAGUUAUUGUCUUGCUCUUCUUUCAUACUUAAUAGCAUCUAAUUGUGCUAGGCAACUAUCAGGGUCUUGCUUGUCAACUGCGGAUAGAACUGGAGACAUUAUAAACUGCUUCUGAAAUUAACAUUUAGAUUCAAUUAUUUGAGAUCCAUUUUUCUACAGUGAAAGGAACUUGUCACACUAAAACAGGAUGUGUCAUAAUCUUCAAUUCUUGUUUGUAGCAUGCAGAUUUACACUAAAUAUAAUUUAACCUUUUCUCUUUUUAGAACAUUUUCCUCUUAUCAAAAUAUAUGUAGCAAAAUGACAGAGAAAAAUUGAGAUUAAUCCAUGCUUAGUUGGGAAAAAAAAGCUUUUUGAAGCUUUUUUAUUGAUGACAACACCUGCUUUUAGGUUUUUAAAGUUUGGAAUUAAGGACAUUUUUACUAAAAAAAUACUAUCAAAUUCUAAGAAAGGCUAUGGGAUUGUAACUGUGAUCUCUUGAAAUGAUUUUAUGUAUGUUCCUAAGUUCAUUUCUUUUCAGUGGUAGAGGCAAUGGUGUUGAAAUUUAUACCAAGACACUUUGGCCCUCAUUAUGAAUAAUUUUUUUUCUGAUUUUUUUAGUAGCAAGAGUGGUGCAAGGAACAGAUUUGUGAAAACAUUUAAAAGCUUUGCAGUAAUAUUUUAUGGACAAUUUUGGUAUCUUUAUUGUCUAUUAAAAGAGCUUAAGCCAGGGAGGAGAAAUUCAUGGUUAUUGCUUUUUGCUCCCCAAAAGCCAGGAAAAUGCACAUUUUGCUUGAACUGCACUAAUAUAGGUCCUCACAGAACAGCUUCAUUAAAUGAUCUUAAUAAGACAGAGUGGCUGUCUAUGCCAUUGGAAGGCAAAGUAAUGGCCUGUUCCUGAAUAAAUCACAUUAUGAUAUGAGUAAUGUACAGACAUCAUAAUUUGGUAGCCAAGGUUGCUGGUGAUGAAUGUUUUCUGAUGUCACUACAUGGGUAGAAAAGCAUUGAUUGACUGAUAGUCUCAGACAUUCAGACAUAUUAUUUAUGUAUCACAGUGUGGAAUAAAUAAGGAUUGUGUUCUUGUGUUGCACCUCCCUGUUUUUGGACAAUUAUCUCCAAUGAUGUUAAGUUGAAGCUAGAAAAAAAAUAUGUGUAGUUUAGUGAAAGUCAUAUCAGAAUGAAACAUAAGAUUUAGACAACAUUUGCAUAUGCUUAUAUAGUUAUUAAGAAUAUUAAUUAGGAAAUUAUGGUUUAUAACAGGCUUCUCAGUCUAGAAUUAAGUCAUAGCUCUAUUAGAAACUGAAAAGUAUCAACAAGGUCCUUGAAGAAGAAAUUUAAAGAUGAAGU
rnacentral:lncRNA from 1 species